rnacentral:rRNA from 1 species
GACGAACGCUGGCGGCGUGCCUAAUACAUGCAAGUAGAACGCACAGUUUAUACCGUAGCUUGCUACACCAUAGACUGUGAGUUGCGAACGGGUGAGUAACGCGUAGGUAACCUGCCUGGUAGCGGGGGAUAACUAUUGGAAACGAUGGCUAAUACCGCAUAAUAUUAAUUAUUGCAUGAUAAUUAAUUGAAAGGUGCAAUUGCACCACUACCAUAUGGACCUGCGUUGUAUUAGCUAGUAGGUGAGGUAACGGCUCACCUAGGCGACGAUACAUAGCCGACCGGAGAGGGUGAUCGGCCACACUGGGACUGAGACACGGCCCAGACGCCUACGGGAGGCAGCAGUAGGGAAUCUUCGGCAAUGGACGAAAGUCUGACCGAGCAACGCCGCGUGAGUGAAGAAGGUUUUCGGAUCGUAAAGCUCUGUUGUAAGAGAAGAACGGGUGUGAGAGUGGAAAGUUCACACUGUGACGGUAUCUUACCAGAAAGGGACGGCUAACUACGUG